UACGAAGGGGGCUAGCGUUACUCGGAUUGACUGGGCGUAAAGGGCGCGUAGGCGGAUGGUACAGUCAGACGUGAAAUUCCUGGGCUCAACCUGGGGGCUGCGUUUGAUACGUGCUGUCUGGAGUUCGGAAGAGGGUCGUGGAAUUCCCAGUGUAGAGGUGAAAUUCGUAGAUAUUGGGAAGAACACCGGUGGCGAAGGCGGCGACCUGGUCCGAUUACUGACGCUGAGGCGCGAAAGCGUGGGGAGCAA
rnacentral:rRNA from 1 species